UACAGAGGGUGCGAGCGUUAAUCGGAAUUACUGGGCGUAAAGCGUGCGUAGACGGUUAUUUAAGUCGGGUGUGAAAGCCCGGGGCUCAACUCCGGAAUUGCCUUUAAGACUGCAUCGCUAGAAUUGUGGAGAGGUAAGUGGAAUUCCGAGUGUAGAGGUGAAAUUCGUAGAUAUUCGGAAGAACACCAGUGGCGAAGGCGACUUACUGGACACAUAUUGACGCUGAGGUGCGAAAGCGUGGGGAGCAAACAGG
rnacentral:rRNA from 1 species